rnacentral:lncRNA from 1 species
CUAAAUAAAAUAAUAAAACAACUAUAAUGUACAUUACAUAAAUUUUAAACACACAAAUAUUACAAAAAAUUUCAAAUUUAUAAAUAAAAUUACAUUUUUUCCCUUUUUUUUUCCUUUCUUCCCUCUUCUUCUUCUUUUUUUUUCUCUUCUCCUUUCUCUUUCUUUCCUUCUUUCUUUCUUUUUUCUUCUCUUCUCCUUUUCUUCUUCUUUCUUUCCUUUUUUCUCUUCUCCUUUCCUUUUCUUUCUUUCCUCUCCUUUCUUUCUUUCCCUCCUUCUGCCCCCACCACCGACCCCCCCAU